rnacentral:rRNA from 1 species
GACGAACGCUGGCGGCGUGCUUAACACAUGCAAGUCGAACGGAAAGGCCCUGCUUUUGUGGGGUGCUCGAGUGGCGAACGGGUGAGUAACACGUGAGUAACCUGCCCUUGAUUUUGGGAUAACUUCAGGAAACUGGGGCUAAUACCGGAUAGGAGCUCCUGCUGCAUGGUGGGGGUUGGAAAGUUUCGGCGGUUGGGGAUGGACUCGCGGCUUAUCAGCUUGUUGGUGGGGUAGUGGCUUACCAAGGCUUUGACGGGUAGCCGGCCUGAGAGGGUGACCGGCCACAGUGGGACUGAGAUACGGCCCAGACUCCAACGGGAGGCAGCAGUGGGGGAUAUUGCACAAUGGGCGGAAGCCUGAUGCAGCAACGCCGCGUGCGGGAUGACGGCCUUCGGGUUGUAAACCGCUUUCGCCUGUGACGAAGCGUGAGUGACGGUAAUGGGUAAAGAAGCACCGGCUAACUACGUG